AUUGAACGCUGGCGGCAUGCUUUACACAUGCAAGUCGAACGGUAGCAGGCCGCAAGGUGCUGACGAGUGGCGAACGGGUGAGUAAUGCAUCGGAACGUGCCCAGUCGUGGGGGAUAACUACUCGAAAGAGUAGCUAAUACCGCAUACGAUCUAUGGAUGAAAGCGGGGGACCGUAAGGCCUCGCGCGAUUGGAGCGGCCGAUGUCAGAUUAGGUAGUUGGUGGGGUAAAGGCUCACCAAGCCAACGAUCUGUAGCUGGUCUGAGAGGACGACCAGCCACACUGGGACUGAGACACGGCCCAGACUCCUACGGGAGGCAGCAGUGGGGAAUUUUGGACAAUGGGCGCAAGCCUGAUCCAGCAAUGCCGCGUGCAGGAAGAAGGCCUUCGGGUUGUAAACUGCUUUUGUACGGAACGAAACGGCUCUGGUUAAUACCCGGGGCUAAUGACGGUACCGGAAGAAUAAGCACCGGCUAACUACGUG
rnacentral:rRNA from 1 species